GUGGGGAAUAUUGGACAAUGGGCGAAAGCCUGAUCCAGCCAUGCCGCGUGUGUGAAGAAGGCCUUUUGGUUGUAAAGCACUUUAAGCGAGGAGGAGGCUACCGAGAUUAAUACUCUUGGAUAGUGGACGUUACUCGCAGAAUAAGCACCGGCUAACUCUGUGCCAGCAGCCGCGGUAAUACAGAGGGUGCGAGCGUUAAUCGGAUUUACUGGGCGUAAAGCGUGCGUAGGCGGCUUUUUAAGUCGGAUGUGAAAUCCCUGAGCUUAACUUAGGAAUUGCAUUCGAUACUGGGAAGCUAGAGUAUGGGAGAGGAUGGUAGAAUUCCAGGUGUAGCGGUGAAAUGCGUAGAGAUCUGGAGGAAUACCGAUGGCGAAGGCAGCCAUCUGGCCUAAUACUGACGCUGAGGUACGAAAGCAUGGGGAGCAAACAGGAUUAGAUACCCCGGUAGUCC
rnacentral:rRNA from 1 species